rnacentral:rRNA from 1 species
GAGUUUGAUCGUGGCUCAGAUUGAACGCUGGCGGCGUGCCUUACACAUGCAAGUCGAACGGCAGCACGGGAGCUUGCUCCUGGUGGCGAGUGGCGAACGGGUGAGUAAUGCAUCGGAACGUAUCCUGGAGUGGGGGAUAACGUAGCGAAAGUUACGCUAAUACCGCAUAUUCUGUGAGCAGGAAAGCGGGGGACCUUCGGGCCUCGCGCUCUUGGAGCGGCCGAUGUCGGAUUAGCUAGUUGGUGAGGUAAAGGCUCACCAAGGCGACGAUCCGUAGCAGGUCUGAGAGGAUGAUCUGCCACACUGGAACUGAGACACGGUCCAGACUCCUACGGGAGGCAGCAGUGGGGAAUUUUGGACAAUGGGGGCAACCCUGAUCCAGCCAUGCCGCGUGAGUGAAGAAGGCCUCGGUUGUAAG